rnacentral:rRNA from 1 species
AGAGUUUGAUCCUGGCUCAGGAUGAACGCUAGCUACAGGCUUAACACAUGCAAGUCGAGGGGCAGCGGUAUCGAAAGCUUGCUUUCGGUAGCCGGCGACCGGCGCACGGGUGAGUAACGCGUAUCGAACCUGCCUCAUACUCGGGAAUAGCCUUGCGAAAGUAAGAUUAAUGCCCGGUGUUUUCAGAGUCCCGCAUGAGGCUUUGAACAAAGAUUUAUCGGUAUGAGAUGGCGAUGCGUCCCAUUAGCUUGUUGGCGGGGUAACGGCCCACCAAGGCAUCGAUGGGUAGGGGUUCUGAGAGGAAGGUCCCCCACAUUGGAACUGAGACACGGUCCAAACUCCUACGGGAGGCAGCAGUGAGGAAUAUUGGUCAAUGGGCGGAAGCCUGAACCAGCCAAGUAGCGUGCAGGAAGACGGCCCUCCGGGUUGUAAACUGCUUUUAGUUGGGAAUAAAACGGGGCUCGUGAGCCCCCUUGCAUGUACCAUCAGAAAAAGGACCGGCUAAUUCCGUGCCAGCAGCCGCGGUAAUACGGAAGGUCCGGGCGUUAUCCGGAUUUAUUGGGUUUAAAGGGAGCGCAGGCGGACCUUUAAGUCAGCUGUGAAAUACGGCGGCUCAACCGUCGAACUGCAGUUGAUACUGGAGGUCUUGAGUGCACACAGGGAUGCUGGAAUUCAUGGUGUAGCGGUGAAAUGCUCAGAUAUCAUGAAGAACUCCGAUCGCGAAGGCAGGCAUCCGGGGUGCAACUGACGCUGAGGCUCGAAAGUGCGGGUAUCAAACAGGAUUAGAUACCCUGGUAGUCCGCACAGUAAACGAUGAAUACUCGCGGUUUGCGAUAGACUGUAAGCCGCCAAGCGAAAGCGUUAAGUAUUCCACCUGGGGAGUACGCCGGCAACGGUGAAAC